AUUGAACGCUGGCGGCAUGCCUUACACAUGCAAGUCGAACGGCAGCACGGGUGCUUGCACCUGGUGGCGAGUGGCGAACGGGUGAGUAAUAUAUCGGAACGUACCUUAUUGUGGGGGAUAACGCAGCGAAAGCUGUGCUAAUACCGCAUAAUCCCUAAGGGGGAAAGCGGGGGGACCGUAAGGCCUCGCGCAAUUCGAGCGGCCGAUACCUGAUUAGCAAGUUGGUGAGGUAAAGGCUCACCAAGGCAACGAUCAGUAGCUGGUCUGAGAGGACGAUCAGCCACACUGGGACUGAGACACGCACCAGACUCCUACGGGAGGCAGCAGUGGGGAAUUUUGGACAAUGGGGGCAACCCUGAUCCAGCAAUGCCGCGUGAGUGAAGAAGGCCUUCGGGUUGUAAAGCUCUUUUGUCAGGGAAGAAACAGCAGCUCUAACACAGUUUGCGAAUGACGGUACCUGAAGAAUAAGCACCGGCUAACUACGUGCCAGCCGCCGCGGUAA
rnacentral:rRNA from 1 species